rnacentral:sRNA from 1 species
AACAACUUAAAAAAAAACAACUUAAAAAAUAAAAAGUCAUCGUGUGUAUAUGUUCUAUGUCGUUUUGCAGCGUGCAAAAUAUAUGUGAACCUGACGCGCGUGUCAAUCUUUUCAUACCGCCAGAACAAUGUACUGUGCACUGGUAUUCCCAAGUACCUGUGUAACAGCGUAUAUGUUACUAAAACGUUAAUAAAUUGUACUGUCCUAUGUACGAUCAUUUGGUGAUUCUUCUAUUGCUGAUGAAACCUCGUUUUAAAUUUUGCAAUAAUCCACACGCCAAGAUGUCGGAAUAUUCAAGAUGGCCGACCCAGCAACUAAAUGGACUGACAAAGCCCUCGACAACAAAAUAAAAACCGAACUGAUCUACAAACUCGUUAAUCGUCCCUACUAUAUACUAAAUUGUCCACUACUCUAAACAAAUUGGAAAAUUCGAUCUUGGGGGUGCUCGCGACACCCAUUACAUAACCCCUCAAAAAAUUCAAUUAAGCCUCAGCAAAAACUACAACAACAAAAACACGCCACUCGCUCCCGCCAAAAGUGAUGUCUCGAAGCAACAACUCUAACCACUCCAGCCAAAUGCAAUGACAUGCAAGAAACUAGUAUGACGUCACUACAGCAGACAUUUUACAUAACCAACAAACAUGGCGCAUUCACAUCGCACUGAACAGCACACUGGCGGAUAUUAAAGACCUAGAAAUUGAAUUGCCUAUUGCUCUAAACAACUUCGAAAACUUAAUCAUGGGUGCUCGUGCCACCCAUUAUAAAAUCUCUCAACUAAGUCAUUAUGCCUCAGCAAAUACUACAACAACAAAAAGAUGCCACUCGCUCCUGCCAAAAGUGAUGUCUCACAGCAACAAAUCUAACCUCUUCAGUCAAAUAAAACAAUAAGUUUGUAAGAAUACAUGCAAGAAACAAGAAUGACGUCACUGAAGCAGACAUUUAUAAAGAACGAACAAACAUGGCGUUCUUCAUUGCCCUGAACAACAUAAUGACCAGCCUUAGCUCAGUGGUUUAGAUUGACAAUAUUAAGGCGCAAUGCCAUUGCAACUCACGGUAAAAUCCACGCCCGAAUAUAAAACUAUUAAUUACUCUCUUUUACAGGGACCUACAUCCCUGCAACAUGCUACUUAGACUCAACUGAGACGUACGGCCAUUGAUUAGUCAUCACCUGUGCACUCAAUGGUAUGCACAAACCCGCCUGCAAAUGCAACAAAACCAAUGAACUCAUCCUACACGCCCAUAACACCCGCCACACAUGCCAUUACACAAAACACCUCAGCUACUCACGAGCCUAUGGAAUCAAUGCAGCUACACCAUAGCCUACCUGCGUGGAACGCAUACCUGUGAGCGCACGUGGGAGUGCCUGUAUUUGCUUGUAGAAUGAAUCCCUGCCACACAGCCUACCUACGCGAUCGCCUUGAGUGUGUUUCUUGCUGACCGGUGGCUCUUUGUUUGCAUAGCAUCUCCCUCGCAUCUACAACACGCUUUAACCAGCACCCACGCACAAUAAGUUAUCACAUCUACAACACCUCGGACUCCUGAGCCAACUAACUUCAACUCAGCAAAUACUAUACCCGCAACACGAACCUACGCGCAUAUAAGAGCUGAGAGUGGAGUGGCGCGUACCUUAUUGACGGACUGCCCUGGCGGCGCCGAGCGCAUAUGCAACCGCAAUCCAUUCUUUACCAGCAUCCCUGCCUCCAUGGCCUGCCAGUGCGCAUCAUGGAGAUCGUGCCCUGCCGGAUGAAGCUCUGCCUUAUGCCAAUGGCAUCGAGCACAUCAACAACUCCUAGGUCACCUGAGCCAACUAAUUUCAACACAGCAACUACUAUACCCGCAACAGCAACCCAUGCGCAUAUUAGAGCUGAUAGUGGAGUGGCGCGCAUCUAAUUGCAGGCUUGUCUUGGCAGUGCUGAGCGCAUAUGCAUCCUCAACUCAUUGUGUGCCUGCAUCCCUGCCUCCAUAGCCUGCCAGUGCACUUGCUGGAGAUCGUGCCUCGCCGGAUGAAGCCCUGCCUUAUGCCAAUUGCACUGCACACGCUACAACUUAACACCAACGCAGAUACCACACGCAGAACAACGCAGUAAACUCGGACCCCGGAAUCUCCAGAUAACAACCCAGUUAAUACGUCAUUAAUUUACUAUGAUCAAGUUUCUAUUUUAUUUUUGCAACAACAACACGCUUUAAUCAGCACACACGCACAACAAGUCAACACAUCAACAACAACUCGGAAAACUGAGCCCACUAACUUCAACACAGCAACUACUUUUUUGCAACAGCAACCCAUGUGCAUAUUAGAGCUGAGAAUGGACUGGCGCGUAUCUUACUGCCGGAUUGUCCUGACAGUGCUGAGCGCACAUGUAAUCACAAUCCAUUGUAGCUAGCAUCCCUGCCUCCAAAGCCUGCCAAUGCACUUUCUGGUGAUCGUGCCUCUUCGGUUGAAGUUCUGCCAUAUGCCAACUGCUUCGCGUACAUUGCAACUAAACAUCAACGCAGAUACCACACGGACUCAAGGGAUCUCAAGAUGACAACCCAGUCAUCACAUCAUUAAUUCAACACAAUCAAAUUUUCAUUCUACUUUAUUUAAACUUAUUGUUUGUAAACACUAAUGUUGCCACAUCGUCCAUAAGACACAACCAUACAUGUAACAAUUCACUCUCCAGCCAUCUCGAACACAUUCACACCGCCAGCCCGGACUUGAAACUCCAGAUCAUCAAAAACUUAUCACCCACGCAUCAUCGGAAACCACUCCUCGUUAAAUUAAUAUAAAUUAAUCAUAUUUUGCCAAAUCAUUGCUUUGUAAACAAAAAUGUUGCCAUAUCGUCUCUAGACAUAAUUCUGUAAAGUUAACAGGCAAGGUUGCCACUCUGCCCUAAUAAUUUCAAACAAUGUUAAGAUAAUAGGCAAUGUUGCCACCUAGUCUUAGGUUUAUAACAUUUGCAUAUGUUGCUUAAUAGUAAUGACGCAAAUAAAGAAGGCGAGCUGCGGCUAACAUUAGUCGCCAGCAAACCCCCAUUGUGUACAAGAGUGCACACAACUUAAAAUU